rnacentral:rRNA from 1 species
UGGGGGAUAUUGCACAAUGGAGGAAACUCUGAUGCAGCGACGCCGCGUGAGGGAAGAAGGUUUUCGGAUUGUAAACCUCUGUCUUCGGUGACGAAAAUGACGGUAGCCGAGGAGGAAGCCACGGCUAACUACGUGCCAGCAGCCGCGGUAAUACGUAGGUGGCAAGCGUUGUCCGGAAUUACUGGGUGUAAAGGGAGCGUAGGCGGGAGUGCAAGUCGGCUGUCUAAACUAUGGGCUCAACCCAUAAUCGCGGCCGAAACUGUACUUCUUGAGUGAAGUAGAGGUAAGCGGAAUUCCUAGUGUAGCGGUGAAAUGCGUAAAUAUUAGGAGGAACACCAGUGGCGAAGGCGGCUUACUGGGCUUUAACUGACGCUGAGGCUCGAAAGCGUGGGUAGCAAACA